rnacentral:RNase_P_RNA from 2 species
GUGGUGGGGCCGAUGGUCGCGGAUGGCCGGCUUCAGGGGCCACCCGAGGAAAGUCCGAGCUCCACAGGGCAGACCGCCAGGUAACGCCUGGGCGCCGGCACGGCAACCCCCGGUCGGAGCAAGGCCAAAUAAGCAGCGAGACCCGGCCCGGGUCGUUCGAGCUGCGGGUAGGCCGCACGAGAUGGCUGGCGACAGUCAUCCCAGAGAGAUGACCAUCUGCUCGUACCAACGAGUAAACAGAACUCGGCUUAUGGUCCCACCACUUCC